GGACAAUAAGGUUAGAAACCAGUCAGUGAGUAAUGGUUAAUGAUUGCAUUAUCAGAGCUGCUCCCUGAAAAGUCCUAGUGCAGUGCACGUAGAUCUAAUAAUGUGCUCCGACUACACUUUUUCAAGUUUUUUGGACAGUUCAAUGGUGUUCCCAAAAGUGGUAAACCAGGCACAAAGUUGGCAUGACAGAACCUACAAAUCGUGACUGUUCCAGUGAAAUUG